rnacentral:tRNA from 1 species
AAGAUAAUAAGUUAAAUAUAAAAAACUAUAUAUUUUCAAAAUAUAAAAUUAUAUAUCUUUC